rnacentral:rRNA from 1 species
UCAUUAGUUUUUUAAUUGAAAGCUUGUAUGAAUGGUUUGAUGAGAAAAUUACUUUCUAAGUUUAAAUUUUUAAAAAUUUUAUUUUUAAGUUAAAAAGCUUAAAUAUCAUUAAAAGACGAGAAGACCCUAUAGAGUUUAAUUUAAUAAAAAUUUUAAAUUUUUAGAAUUUAAAUUUUAUAAUUUUAAUUAAAUUUGAUUGGGGUGAUAAAAAAAUUAAAUAAACUUUUUUUUAUAAUAACAUUAAUAAAUGAUUAAUUGAUCCAUAAAAAUGAUUAUAAGAAUAAAUUACCUUAGGGAUAACAGCGUAAUUUUUUUUUAGAGUUCUUAUCGAAAAAAAAGAUUGCCACCUCGAUGUUGGAUUAAAAUUAAAUUUAGGUGUAGAAGCUUAAA